rnacentral:rRNA from 1 species
AAUGAACGUUGGCGGCGUGGAUUAGGCAUGCAAGUCGCGCGAGAAGUCAUUUAGCUUGCUAAAAGACGGACAGCGGCGGAAGGGAGAGUAACGCGUGGUUAUGUACCCUCGAGACCGGGAUAGUGUCGGGAAACUGGCAGUAAUACCGGAUAACAUCUUCGGACCAAAUUGUGUGAUUCCGCUCGAGGAUCGGACCGCGUACUAUUCGCUAGUUGGAGGGGUAAUGGCACAACACGGCUUAGAUGGUUACCGGGUGUGAGAGCAUGGCCCGGCUCACUGGGACUGAGACACUGCCCAGACAUCUACGGAUGGCUGCAGUCGAGAAUCUUCGGCAAUGGACGAAAGUCUGACCGAGCGACGCCGCGUGCGGGAUGAAGGCCUUCGGGUUGUAAACCGCUGUCAGUUAGGAGGAAAUCCAUGAGGGUUCUCUCUCAUGGUUGACCGAUUUUCAGGGGAAGGACGGGCUAAGUUCGUGCCAGCAGCCGCCGUAACAC